rnacentral:rRNA from 1 species
UAUGAACGCUAGUGACAUGCUUGACACAUGCAAGUCGAACGCCUUAGCGUUUAUUAGGUUAAAUAAUAAACAAAAAGGAGUGGCGCACGGGUGCGUAAUACGUCGAAAGGAUGCCCUUUGGUUCAAGGAAGCGUUAUGCGCGAAUCUUGAAUAAAAGAAAAGCGGGAGCUAUUUAAAAAAAGAUAAACUCUAUAUCGCCAAAGGAUUUCUCGACGGAGGCUCAGGUUGUUGGUGAGAUUGAAAGCUUACCAAGCCGAAGACCCUUAGCCGGUCUUAGCGGACGAUCGGCCACAUGGGGACUGAGACAAGGCCCCAACUUAAUUAGGGCAGCAGUGUGGAAUCUUGGGCAAUGGGAGAAAUCCUGACCCAGCAAUGUCGCGUGGGUGAAAACGGCUGUAAAAUGUUAUAGGUCGUAAAACUCUGUCGCCGGGGAAGAUAAUGACGGUACCCGGAAAAGUAGCUCCGGCUAACCUCGUGCCAGCAGCCGCGGUAAAAC